rnacentral:rRNA from 1 species
UAGCUAGUUGGUGAGGUAAAGGCCUACCAAGGCGACGAUCUGUAGCGGGUCUGAGAGGAUGAUCCGCCACACUGGAACUGAGACACGGUCCAGACUCCUACGGGAGGCAGCAGUGGGGAAUUUUGGACAAUGGGGGCAACCCUGAUCCAGCCAUGCCGCGUGAGUGAAGAAGGCCUUCGGGUUGUAAAGCUCUUUCGGCCGGGAAGAAAUCGCAUGGGCCAAUACCCUGUGUGGAUGACGGUACCGGAAUAAGAAGCACCGGCUAACUACGUGCCAGCAGCCGCGGUAAUACGUAGGGUGCGAGCGUUAAUCGGAAUUACUGGGCGUAAAGCGUGCGCAGGCGGUUUUGUAAGACAGGCGUGAAAUCCCCGGGCUUAACCUGGGAACUGCGUUUGUGACUGCAAGGCUAGAGUACGGCAGAGGGGGGUGGAAUUCCACGUGUAGCAGUGAAAUGCGUAGAGAUGUGGAGGAACACCAAUGGCGAAGGCAGCCCCCUGGGUCGAUACUGACGCUCAUGCACGAAAGCGUGGGUAGCAAACAGGAUUAGAUACCCUGGUAGUCCACGCCCUAAACUAUGUCAACUAGGUGUUGGGUGGGUAAAACCAUUUAGUACCGUAGCUAACGCGUGAAGUUGACCGCCUGGGGAGUACGGCCGCAAGGUUAAAACUCAAAGGAAUUGACGGGGACCCGCACAAGCGGUGGAUGAUGUGGAUUAAUUCGAUGCAACGCGAAAAACCUUACCUACCCUUGACAUGCCAGGAACUUGCCAGAGAUGGCUUGGUGCCCGAAAGGGAGCCUGGACACAGGUGCUGCAUGGCUGUCGUCAGCUCGUGUCGUGAGAUGUUGGGUUAAGUCCCGCAACGAGCGCAACCCUUGUCGUUAAUUGCCAUCAUUUAGUUGGGCACUUUAACGAGACUGCCGGUGACAAACCGGAGGAAGGUGGGGAUGACGUCAAGUCCUCACGGCCCUUAUGGGUAGGGCUUCACACGUCAUACAAUGGUCGGUACAAAGGGUUGCCAAGCCGCGAGGCGGAGCCAAUCCCAGAAAGCCGAUCGUAGUCCGGAUUGCAGGCUGCAACUCGCCUGCAUGAAGUCGGAAUCGCUAGUAAUCGUGGAUCAGCAUGUCACGGUGAAUACGUUCCCGGGUCUUGUACACACCGCCCGUCACACCAUGGGAGCGGGUUCCGCCAGAAGUAGGUAGCCUAACCGCAAGGGGGGCGCUUACCACGGCGGGGUUCGUGACUGGGGUGAAGUCGUAACAAGGUAGCCGUAGGGGAACCUGCGGCUG